rnacentral:rRNA from 1 species
AAAUUCAGGGGCUCAACCCCUGACCUGCACUCGAUACGGGCAGACUAGAGUUUGGUAGGGGAGACUGGAAUUCCUGGUGUAGCGGUGGAAUGCGCAGAUAUCAGGAGGAACACCAAUGGCGAAGGCAGGUCUCUGGGCCAAUACUGACACUGAGGAGCGAAACSSGGGGAGCGAACAGGGUUAGAUACCCUGGUAGUCCGCGCCGUAAACGACGGGCGCUAGUUGUGGGGACCUUCCACGGUUUCUGCGACGCAGCUAACGCAUUAAGCGCCCCGCCUGGAGUACGAUCGCAAGAUUAAAACUCAAAGAAA